rnacentral:rRNA from 1 species
GACGAACGCUGGCGGCGUGCUUAACACAUGCAAGUCGAGCGGUAAGGCCCUUUCGGGGGUACACGAGCGGCGAACGGGUGAGUAACACGUGGGUGACCUGCCCUUAGCUCUGGGAUAAGCCUGGGAAACUGGGUCUAAUACCGGAUAUGACUCCAUAACGCAUGUUGUGGGGUGGAAAGCCUUGUGCGGCUAGGGAUGGGCCCGCGGCCUAUCAGCUUGUUGGUGGGGUGAUGGCCACCAAGGCGACGACGGGUAGCCGGCCUGAGAGGGCGACCGGCCACACUGGGACUGAGACACGGCCCAGACUCCUACGGGAGGCAGCAGUGGGGAAUCUUGCGCAAUGGGCGAAAGCCUGACGCAGCGACGCCGC